GGGAGGCUGCGGGCUCCGGAGCGGGAGCGCAGAGACCCGAAGGAGGAUGAGACCAUCUAGUUACAGGAAAACAAGCUCAAGGCUCCCACUGAUUCUACAUUAUGGUCUUACAGAAAAAUUAACUCAAAAUGGAUUACAGACCUAAGUGUAAAUGCAAAACUAUGAAACUUCUAGGGGAAAACAGAAGAGAAAAUCUCUGUGAGUUUGAGUUUGGUGUUGAGAUUUUACACCACCACCAAAAACAUGAUGCAAGAAAAUAAAACUUGAUGUUCUGGGCUUAAUUAAAAUUAAAAA